rnacentral:rRNA from 1 species
GUUGGGCACUAGGUGUGGGUCUCAACCAACGAGAUCCGCGCCGUCGCUAACGCAUUAAGUGCCCCGCCUGGGGAGUACGGUCGCAAGACUAAAACUCAAAGGAAUUGACGGGGGCCCGCACAAGCAGCGGAGCGUGUUGCUUAAUUCGAUGCAACGCGAAGAACCUUACCUGGGUUUGACAUGUACCGAAAAGCUCUAGAGAUAGGGUGUCCUUCGGGGCGGUACACAGGUGGUGCAUGGCUGUCGUCAG